GAUAGCUUGUUGAGCUGUGAAGCACAUUGAGCAGAGUCUGAAAUUCUUCCUCACUAUGGG
rnacentral:lncRNA from 1 species